GACGAACGCUGGCGGCGUGCUUAACACAUGCAAGUCGAACGGAAAGGCCCUGCUUUUGUGGGGUGCUCGAGUGGCGAACGGGUGAGUAACACGUGAGUAGCCUGCCCUUGACUUUGGGAUAACUUCAGGAAACUGGGGCUAAUACCGGAUAGGAGCUCCUGCUGCAUGGUGGGGGUUGGAAAGUUUCGGCGGUUGGGGAUGGACUCGCGGCUUAUCAGCUUGUUGGUGGGGUAGUGGCUUACCAAGGCUUUGACGGGUAGCCGGCCUGAGGGGGUGACCGGCCACAUUGGGCCUGAGAUACGGCCCAGACUCCUACGGGAGGCAGCAGUGGGGAAUAUUGCACAAUGGGCGGAAGCCUGAUGCAGCAACGCCGCGUGCGGGAUGACGGCCUUCGGGUUGUAAACCGCUUUCGCCUGUGACGAAGCGUGAGUGACGGUAAUGGGUAAAGAAGCACCGGCUAACUACGUG
rnacentral:rRNA from 1 species